rnacentral:tRNA from 1 species
UGAUUGGUAACUCAGUUGGUUAGAGUGCUUGACUAUUAAUCAAGAAGUCGUGAGUUCGAAUCUCACCCAAUCAG